UACAGAGGUCUCAAGCGUUGUUCGGAUUCAUUGGGCGUAAAGGGUGCGUAGGUGGCGGGGUAAGUCAGGUGUGAAAUUCCUGGGCUUAACCUCGGGCCUGCAGUCGAUACGGGCAGACUAGAGUUCGGUAGGGGAGACUGGAAUUCCUGGUGUAGCGGUGAAAUGCGCAGAUAUCAGGAGGAACACCAAUUGCGAAGGCAGCUCGCUGGGACGUUACUGACGCUGAGACGCGAAAGCGUGGGGAGCAAACAGG
rnacentral:rRNA from 1 species